GCCAGAAUCCCUCGCCCACUUCUUCAUUUGCUUGGGCCAGGAUCACCCCAGAGGCAGUCCUGUGUAUGAAGGAGACCACUGUGGGUGCCACAGCUCCAAUGCUCCCUGUCCCAGGCACCCUGCCCACCCUGGGAACAGCAUCUUCCAGCCCGUGUGCACAGGGGUGGGAUGCUUGUAGAAUGUUUGUUUCAUAGGACAGGGUAUAUCUGUUUUUUAGAACUGGAUGCUUCUCAAGUGCUGUUAAGAGACUGCAACUUGUGGUGCUCGGAACCGUUGGCCGUUGUUAUGUAGGCACACAUUUCUCCUUGGUUGGUUUGACUUCCCAGCUGGGCAUUCAGGCUGGGUGUUACAUCACUUUCUUUUGCUAUGAGUCAUAGCUCUGAGAGACCAUGGCUGUGUCUACUGAAAAUGGAAGCCUGAAACGUUUGCGGAAGAAUAGAGGAAACCAAAAUAGUGCGAAAGGGCUGACGAUCACAAAUACAGACAGCAACAGCAAAAGCACCGAGGUGGAGUUUCUCAGCUGCAGAGAUAACAUAGCCCAGGGCUCCUUUGGGAUCUGUCUCUGGGAAUCAGCAUGGUUUGGGUGCAUCAUUUAGGGGGAAAAGCAGGAAGCAAGCUGAAUCAAGAGCAACAGUGUUAGAAUCCAUGAUGGGAUGUUCUAGCUGCUCUCUUUCGCUAUGGGAAAGCAAGGUUUAGAGAUGCCGACACCAGCAUACUCUUAAUUCUGAGGUAUUUUCUAUAGCUAUUUUUUGGUACCCAAAGGCGCAGUAAGGGUGCUCAGGGACAGACGUGAGCACUGAGCCAGCUCCACCACUCAGGCUGUGGCUGUUGGGCUGCAGCUGGCUGACCCAGGGGACAUGUUUUCAGUGGGCAUGUGAGCCAGCAGCUCUGCUUCUGUGAGCCUGCGUGUGAAGAGGAGUUCCUCCCUCGUGGGAAAUACUGACGAGAUGGUAAUUGUUUUGGUGGUUUUGCUGCAGAGCCUUCUGAAAACCCAGAUGCAGAGCAGUGGUGCUGGUAGCUCGGCCUACAGACUUGCCAUGUGUUUGAUGCAGCUGUGCUCAGAGAGGAAACUUCAGGAGCCAAGGAGUGUGAUUUCUCAAUAACCUGAUGGGCAGCAGGUAAAGCAGGGGGCUGGGACAGGGCUCCUGGGGGCAUCUGAGCGUCUGCAUUGCCUGCCUGUGCUCCUCUUGGAACAAAGGACUGCACUGUGCCCAUCAUGGAGGGGACUUUGUUGAGGUACUGGAGCCCCAGUCAGACAUCAGGGGUCUGUCACACAGCAUCACCCCGGGAAUGAAGUGGCCCCUCGUGCUCAUGGUUGAGCUGCUAUGGGCUGUUUUGGCACUUAGGUAACAAUGUGAUUUCCUGUCUCAUGACAGUUCAGAUAUUAAAGGUCACAUCUGCCUAAUACUUUCAGUCUUAACUAUGGCAAACUUUCCCAGCGCUUCUAAAGCAGACAGUUGUGGUAUGGUUCCCUUCUGAACCAUAUUCAGAAACCAGAGGUUGUUCUGUAGCUCUUUAUCAUUAUUGUUGCUACUACUAGUAGGUCUUGUACAGGGAUUACUCAGAACAGCAGCACAACAACAACUCUGCCCAGAGAAGGAAAGGUCAGGAUCUUCAGGUGCUGCUGCCACAAGCCUGCAGCCCGCUGUUCUGCGUCUCAGCAGCAGAUCUUGGUCAAAGCUGCACCAAAGAACAACUCCAGGGACAGCCCUCUCCUCUCUCCUGCUGUCUGUCCUUACCGUGCCUCGCAGCCUGUGAGGAUGCUGCAGAUGCACUCUGUGUGAACACUCAGGAGAUGAGGGAGCAGGAGAAAGGACACGCACAGAUUGAGGCUAAGGAGAAAAGAAACCCCAUGUGGUAAUUGCUUGCUAGAAAUAAAUGCAAGGGACUGAAUUCUUGGUGGCUCCAUGCAGAUUCACAGCAGCUGAGAAUCUGUCCCUGGAAACUGCAAGGGGUGCUAUGGCUGUGACUGUGUAUGCAAGCUUCAGGUUAUCUGUAUAAUGAGGUAGUCCAAAAAGUUGGAAGCUUUGUGCAAAUAUCUGAGAAUAUCCCCAGGACAGCAGGAGCCUUUGUGCUCGUCCUUAACCAGGUGGUAUUUGCCCGGCUUUCUGGAGCAGCUUGAAGUCCCCUUCAGAACAAAACCACCUUUAACAAACACAAACGUACUUUGUGUUCUCUAUGGAAGCCCAGUGCCCAGGCCAUGUUACUAUGUUACUGAACUCUAGUUUUUGCUGUGCUUCAACACAGUUAAAAGCCUGAAAGCUGAGCCAUUUUAAAGCAUCCCAUAAGACCCUUGAGUCAUGCAAAAUCCUAUCCCGUUUUUCCCUCUGGGUGAAGAGUUAUGAAUGAUAGAAGUGCUUUUAAAUCAUAGAUAAAGAAUGCUGAGUGAUGGGUUAGUAAAAAUAAUUUUAAGAACUCCCUAUUUUCAUCUAGAUUUUAUUUCCCUGGGUGUGAAUUCAACAGGUGGGGCUGAAAUAUCACAGCUUGCCCCCCAAAAGGAGCGGCGUGCAGCUGAAUCCCCGCAAGAGUCACUAUUCCUUUUCUUGCUUUCUUUACUGCUUCAGGCAAAUUAUGAUUGUAAUACUUCUCCGUUCUCUAGCACAGCUCAUUUCCCCACCCUGUACCAGCUCAAUUUCUCUGGCAGGACUGCUGGGAAUGGCGGACCGCUGCUUCCGUCUGCUCCCAAACCUCCUGCUGACAAAACUGCACCUCUGUGAUCCUACCCAACCUGCUUCUGACCCAGCCGGGUAGGCAGGGGGGUCAACGUGGUGUCCUCUGUGCUUGCAUCUACCAGUGCUGCUCUGCCAGCUGCUGACCCAGCACCAUGAGGAUACUCAGAUCCCCUGGAUAUUCUUCUUACUAGAAUAAAGCUACCUGGAACUACUGCUUGGUUCCGGAGGUAAGUGCUGCACUGCCCUUCCAUUCUACUUUUCCAUAUUUGCUACCUAUUACAGUGUUAAUCAUUGGGAUCCCUCUCUUUUCAGUUUCCUUUCCCUGAAACGCGGUGGUCAGACUUCCCAGACCGUGCAUUCUUUGUUGACCAGGAAUUUCUAAAUGCCAAAACAGAGCCAAAUGGAAAUGCUUUGCAGGGGGUUUUGUUACCGCGAGCCAUAGAAACAUUCAAUCAGGAAAAUAAGUCUCUCUUUUGAUUUCAGUCACCAUUUUGGGGCAUGCAUUUUAGGUCAGACAUUAUUUUUGACACAUACAAGACAACAAUUGGACAAACACACCAUUUUUUGGCUAGUAUUUCAUUUAAAAAAAAAAUUGAGGAAGACAGGUAUGUUUCAAUACAUGUGUAGCUCAGAUCUGUGCAAUUGAACUGCUUUUUUGCUUAGGGAAAAUAAUGUAAUUUAGUAACCUUGCUUGUUGCAUAGAGAAGAGCGGUUAUGCUUCUUCAUCAAACUGAAACAUCCCAUUACACGGAUUUCAGAUGAUUUCUCAUGCUAUUUUUUCAGGUUUCACUUUUUUUUUUUUUUUUCCUCCUUUAAAAGGAACUUGAAGCAACUCUCUGCUCAGCUCCCGCUGGUGAAAAAGCAGCCCUAUCCACUGCUCACUGUGAUGGGAAGAGAAGAAGUUGACAGCAACCUUUGGGCAUUCUGCUUCCUCCUCUUUCCCCAUCAGACCUUCCCUUUUGUAGUACAUCUGGAGGGCCACGAACAGCCUUGACAACAUCCCCAGAGGUCUCCUGCUUUCAAAAUGCCACGCGUUGAGCCUAUAUUGUAGUGAGCUGAGAUACUAACUUCAUGUGAGAUGAACUUCACGUGUGUUAACCUGAUGAGCUAGGUCUUGCCAGUGCUGUGAAUAGGUCUGGCUGUAGAAAACGCUUCUGGAGUGAGCAAAAAUUGCUCAUAUUCAGCUAAAUAUUCUGAAAACAGAAAGGCCUGCAGAGGAAGUGAACCUAGCAGCUAUCCAUAUAUUACUCAAACAUGACCACAUGCAUUCCGCUCUGUUUCUCAGCAAACCCCUCUGAAAAGGCUGUGCAUACGUCUUACUUCACAUGCAAGCGUUGACCUUUCCCAAUGAUGUCAGAGGAGAGCAAGCCAUAGGCCUGUUACAGAGCCCUGUGUCUCAUAUGCUUGUCCCAGCCACUGGGUGCUUUGUGAUGGACAUGCAGGGAUCGCAUACAUUUUCUACAGAAAGAGAGACCUGUCACCAUGGUGCUGGGCUCAGAGAGCUGCAGAGCAAGAGCUUCACCGAGCUGUAUGGCUGAAUUGUUCCCUUCUUCAUUGUCCAUUUAAAAAAAUCUAAAUGGAAGAUGGGAAGCUGCCUGCUUGAGGUUUGUGUAUGAAUAAUUAUAGGUACCUGCACUAGCAAGGGACUUUGUGAAAGACGAGAAAAUAGUUGGGCCUCUUCAGGGAAUGUGUGGCAAGCAGGUCAUUUAAAAAUAACUUUUGGAGGCUCUGGGAAGUGGGUGAAAUGAAGUAACAAACAGCUUCUGAAAAAACAGCCGACAAGGGAGCGUUUCAUCUGAUAUCACAGACUGCUAGUUUUCAUUCUGAUCCUGUUGUUGUCUUCUUUAUAUAGCUCAUAGAGUGCCCUUAAGUUGUCUCCAAAGGAUAUUAAUUUUCCACUGGCAUCAGAAAGGCUGCAAUGAUACUUGCACCAAGGUAAGCGACCCCCUCAAGGUUUCUGCACCCACAGCUCCGGACUGGCUGGAAACACAGGCAAUUAAUAAAUCAGAAAAUGAGUGCCUCUCGGCCCUCCUUGCUCCAGGGAAGCCAACAGGAGCUUUGUCAGUAGGAGCAGAACAAGACCACAGAGUGUGCCCCAUAAAGGAUGUGCAUGUGGAAAAGCUCUGCCGUCUAGAACGAAUGCCAGCUCUUAAGAGUUCUGAUCAAAGUCUGAAGUGGACUGAAGCAGAAAACACUGAACAAGAGCUGGGAUCCACCACAGAUGGGGGUGGCUUCGGCCACUACGGGAGGACUGCCACAGCCACGUGGUGAUGCUGAGAGACUUCCCAGCAAGCAGAGAACAUGCUGGUUCUUGCUCUGGGGUAUGGAAGGCCAUCUCAGUCGAUCAUGCCAAAGACAUCAGGACUUAUUCCUUGUGAAGCCUGGGUGGUAACUGGUAAUGAAGACCGUAACAGCCACAAUCUGUGGUAUGCUUUAAUCUACACAAAAUCUGGGAGCAUAAACAUCACUGAGCAUGCUGGGAUAGGGACUGAGAGUCACGUGCUGAAAGCCAGGCUGUUUCCCAGGGUCCUCUUACAGUUUUCAUGCUGGUUGGAAGUAGAUCAUGAGGUUGAUGGCACUUGUCAUCAUUACUUUACCCUCCUUUUUUGUGUUUGUGCAGAGAACCAUUUGCAAUGUGAAACAGUGCAGGACAUUGCCAAACAAAGCCAACCAAACACCCUGGGUAUGCUGCUUGGAUGAAAGAGCUCUUUAGAAGAUGGACAAAUGGACGCAGGGGACAAAAGAGUAAUGCCAACAAAGUGUGUGUAUACACACAGCCCUCUACACGCUGGAAUCUCAGUCAUAAAGUAGCGUUCUCUUCCUCACCACCGCUUACUAACUCGCUGUUUUCUUUCCAGAAGAAUGAAGGCCUUGACAGAAUGCAAGCGAUGAGUAAUGACUUUGCUUUCUUCCAUUCCAGCUGCCACACAGGCACAUAUGUUUUGGGGUUCUCAGUGUGCUCUUGGCUUCCCAAAAUGCUGUGACAUGGAAAACCCUCAGCUGAGUUGGACAGAUAGAUAAACCAAGGCAUCGAGUACUUACGCAUCUAACGCUUGGGCACUCAAAUCCUCAUAAAGGAACUGGGAGCUCAGGAGACGCACAUGCAGGAGGCAUUUGAGAGCCAGGACUUCAGCAAAGAUUCAGGUAUUUGCUCAACCACAGCAAAAUGUCAUCCCCUUCAAGUGGUGAAUGAGCCCUUGAUCUCUGCAAGGUCAAGAUUUUUGCCUUCUGGCUUUAGGUGCUAGUGGUGAGAGACCUGUCCAAAGGUGCUGUUUUCUAGUGCUGUUGUCUAGUGCUCAUUUCUCUACCUAUUCACCUGUACACGUGAAGACCUCUGCUGCUGGCCCUUGUCUGCAGGAAGCUUGGUGUGUUGAGUCUCCUCAUCAACCCAUCUGUUGGGGUGACCGUUCAGCCCCUUGCUGGCUCACAGUCUUGCUUUUGGGAUAUUUCUUCCCUUUUACUCUGGAGCAUCUUAAAUGUGGGUCCACUGAAUGUACAGAUUGAGAGCAGGGAAUGAAGGAGACGUGUUGCAGAAUCAACCCACCGACGUGUGCUGCUCACCCACGCACAUGGGGAGAGGGAAAGAUUAAAAGAUUAAAGUUACAAACUGGAAAGCGCCCCAGGCUACCACGGAGAUCCGAGUGACUGCCUGCGAAGCCAAACUCCCACUCUGGAGGUGCCGCUCCACGCUCGCUGUCACUCACUCCACACUUGCUUUCUCCUGCCAUCCCUUCCUGCUACUGCCUUUGCUAUUUUUACAGGCUGAAAAAUUAAGUAAUCAUCUGUUUUGGCCACGAAGGAGGGCCCUGGGCAACUCCUGGUUGUCACUGCAGGGCUCGUGGGCGUAGCCUUCUGCUCCAUCGCUGCACUCCUGUACUUCUAGACCUUGAAGACUCCUCCAUCAGCCUUCUGCUUUGCCCCAUCUGCCCAUAUCACGGCCAGGUUUGGUUCGGAUGCGGCUCAGGACUUGCGUGGGAGGGGCAGCAAUUUGCAGCAGUUAGAAUUUCAGUAAUGACAUAGGGAAGUUUGCAAGGCCUUCAGUGCUUUCUCGCCCCUACAGUGAGGUGCGAAUCAAGGCUUGCUCUACCAAGCUUACAAUUAAAUAUGCCCACAGUAUCAUACUCCUUCCUGUCAUUUGUGAAGAUUUUCUCACUUUCUUUUCUUUCCCUUCGUUAGAGCUGGACAAAGUUUUGGGGCUGAAAAGGCACAGAAGUAAAACUAAGGUCUGGGAGCUCCAGAACAGUUAUUAGCGCAGUGCUUGCGUUGGUAGGCAUGAUGCAAAGAAGGCUGUGGAUGCCCCAUCCCUGGAGGCAUUCUAGGCCGGGCUGGAUGUGGCUCUGGGCAGCCUGGUCUGGUGGUUGGUGACCCUGCACAUAGCAGGGGGAUUGAAACUCGAUGGUCAUUGUGGUCCUUUUCAAGCCGGGCCAUUCUAUGAUAUGAUAUUUUUGUUUGACUGUAGCAGUUAAUCUGAGCCAAAACGAUGAUUUCAUUUAAUUCUUGGAGUAUUGAGCUCUAGAAAUGUUUCUUUUCCAAUUUGCUUUCUGUUACUGUAUUUGAGUUUGGGGGCACUUUUUGUCAGAAACAAGCUGUUUCAAAGAAUAAAAACGGUUUGGCUCUGCUGCUUUGAGUAUGUUGAAAUGGUGUAUUUUGACAUCUCAGAAGUUCCUCCUCCUCCCUGUGCUUUUCAGAUGAAGGUAUUCCUCAGACUCAGGCUGUACUUGUGAAUGUGUUCAGUCCCCUUAGGGUUCCAUAUUUAAUCUGGUCUCCCAGCUAUCAGCUAUGCUGCCUGGCUCUGCUGUUGUGUGGAGGUGACAAAGGAGCACUGGGACCUUCUCGGUCCUGCAAGAAAUGGUGCUCAUUGCACGUGAGAUGGUGGGACAGCCAACUCCUAGCUUGGCUUUCCUGCUGAG
rnacentral:lncRNA from 1 species